rnacentral:rRNA from 1 species
UCCUACGGGGCGCAGCAGUAGGGAAUCUUCCACAAUGGACGAAAGUCUGAUGGAGCAACGCCGCGUGAGUGAAGAAGGGUUUCGGCUCGUAAAGCUCUGUUGGUAGUGAAGAAAGAUAGAGGUAGUAACUGGCCUUUAUUUGACGGUAAUUACUUAGAAAGUCACGGCUAACUACGUGCCAGCAGCCGCGGUAAUACGUAUGUGGCAAGCGUUGUCCGGGUUUAUUGGGCGUAAAGCGAGUGCAGGCGGGGUCAUCAAUCUUAU